UGUACCCAGCGGAGCAGUGUCCCCCCCCCGUCUGUCCGUCCGUCCGUCCGUCCGUCCGUCCUUGGAAACUGCGGAGAACGAGCAGAGCUUUGUGACCGGUCAUCCUGAGAGCCAGUGGACACCGGAAAGAUGGAGGACGUUUAUUGGGAAAAGAGUCAGAGAGGAUCUCUGAAUGGAGACGAGCUCUGAGCGCUGGGAGCUGAACAUGUUCAAGUGUCGCCAGCUCGCCCCUCACCACGCCCCCCCCCCCUGCUGAGAGCCAGCGGCCGCAGACCAGCAGACCCGGAGGAGCCUGACGACCCCUCCAGGAGCACCAGGGUGUUCGUGAGGGCCGCCCUGUAGCGGUUCUACGUGGAGGGACACCUUUAGAGAGAGGGUAGAGUCAACAUAUCUAUGCAAGGUGGAGCAGUUGGAUCAGCCAAGGUCCCGUCCCGUCACAGCGCUAGUGCAGCGGUGGUUCCCGUCUCUGCAGAACUCUGUGAUUCCACCGUCACACGCUGGGUGGUCCCGUCUAGAAAACAUCUCACCGACGCUGCGUUCGGCCCCGCCUGCACACGCCCCCCCACUCUGCUCCCCUGGGCGCUCGGUGUUCAUUCUAAGCUCUCGGUGUUUACGCUCUUAUCACAACGAGUCAUCUUAGACCUCCAUGACUUCAAUAUAGAUCAGCAAUGGAAAUGAAAUGGAUUAAUGAUGAGCAAACACACAGCUGCUCCCUGGUUGAGGAUUUUCCCAGCGUUGUCCGUGUGAGUUGUGGCCAGCCUUGCGUUAAUUCUGCAUGAUGCUUUGUUGUGGAAGAACGCGUCCCACUGAUGUGUGUUUGUGUCCCUCCCCCACCCCACUGUGUCUGUCCUGGAGCUCGUCAUCCAGACCCUUUACUCCUCCUCCUCCUCCCUUUUCCUUUCUUACUUACGUCUUUUUGGUAUACCUUCCAACUUUUGGAUUUUCUACAUUCAUAUCAUUUUUGUAGGCAGCAAUAUGAGAUGUGAUUGAAAAUGGAAUCUGUG
ensembl:lncRNA